rnacentral:rRNA from 1 species
AGUGAACGCUGGCGGUAGGCCUAACACAUGCAAGUCGAACGGCAGCACAGUAAGAGCUUGCUCUUACGGGUGGCGAGUGGCGGACGGGUGAGGUAUACAUCGGAAUCUACUUUUUCGUGGGGGAUAACGUAGGGAAACUUACGCUAAUACCGCAUACGACCUACGGGUGAAAGCAGGGGAUCUUCGGACCUUUCGCGAUUGAAUGAGCCUAUGUCGGAUUAGCUAGUUGGCGGGGUAAAGGCCCACCAAGGCGACGAUCCGUAGCUGGUCUGAGAGGAUGAUCAGCCACACUGGAACUGAGACACGGUCCAGACUCCUACGGGAGGCAGCAGUGGGGAAUAUUGGACAAUGGGCGCAAGCCUGAUCCAGCCAUACCGCGUGGGUGAAGAAGGCCUUCGGGUUGUAAAGCCCUUUUGUUGGGAAAGAAAAGCAGCAGGUUAAUACCCCGCUGUUAUGACGGUACCCAAAGAAUAAGCACCGGCUAACUUCGUG